rnacentral:rRNA from 1 species
CCUACUGGAGGCAGCAGUGGGGAAUAUUGGACAAUGGGCGAAAGCCUGAUCCAGCCAUGCCGCGUGUGUGAAGAAGGCCUUCGGGUUGUAAAGCACUUUCAGUGGGGAAGAAAGCCUUGGGGCUAAUACCCUCGAGGAAGGACAUCACCCACAGAAGAAGCACCGGCUAACUCCGUGCCAGCAGCCGCGGUAAUACGGAGGGUGCGAGCGUUAAUCGGAAUUACUGGGCGUAAAGCGCGCGUAGGCGGUCUGAUAAGCCGGUUGUGAAAGCCCCGGGCUCAACCUGGGAACGGCAUCCGGAACUGUCAGGCUAGAGUGCAGGAGAGGAAGGUAGAAUUCCCGGUGUAGCGGUGAAAUGCGUAGAGAUCGGGAGGAAUACCAGUGGCGAAGGCGGCCUUCUGGACUGACACUGACGCUGAGGUGCGAAAGCGUGGGUAGCAAACAGGAUUAGAUACCCGAGUAGUC